UACGUAGGUGGCAAGCGUUGUCCGGAAUUAUUGGGCGUAAAGCGCGCGCAGGCGGUCCUUUAAGUCUGAUGUGAAAGCCCACGGCUCAACCGUGGAGGGUCAUUGGAAACUGGGGGACUUGAGUACAGAAGAGGAAAGCGGAAUUCCACGUGUAGCGGUGAAAUGCGUAGAUAUUGGGAGGAACACCAGUGGCGAAGGCGGCUACCUGGACCGGUUCUGACGCUGAUGCGCGAAAGCGUGGGUAGCAAACAGG
rnacentral:rRNA from 1 species